AUUGAACGCUGGCGGCAGGCCUAACACAUGCAAGUCGAGCGGCAGCGGGAAGUAGCUUGCUACUUUGCCGGCGAGCGGCGGACGGGUGAGUAAUGUCUGGGAAACUGCCUGAUGGAGGGGGAUAACUACUGGAAACGGUAGCUAAUACCGCAUGACCUCGCAAGAGCAAAGUGGGGGACCUUCGGGCCUCACGCCAUCGGAUGUGCCCAGAUGGGAUUAGCUAGUAGGUGAGGUAAUGGCUCACCUAGGCGACGAUCCCUAGCUGGUCUGAGAGGAUGACCAGCCACACUGGAACUGAGACACGGUCCAGACUCCUACGGGAGGCAGCAGUGGGGAAUAUUGCACAAUGGGCGCAAGCCUGAUGCAGCCAUGCCGCGUGUGUGAAGAAGGCCUUCGGGUUGUAAAGCACUUUCAGCGAGGAGGAAGGGUUCAGUGUUAAUAGCACUGUUCAUUGACGUUACUCGCAGAAGAAGCACCGGCUAACUCCGUGCCAGCAGCCGCGGUAAUACGGAGGGUGCAAGCGUUAAUCGGAAUUACUGGGCGUAAAGCGCACGCAGGCGGUUUGUUAAGUCAGAUGUGAAAUCCCCGAGCUUAACUUGGGAACUGCAUUUGAAACUGGCAAGCUAGAGUCUUGUAGAGGGGGGUAGAAUUCCAGGUGUAGCGGUGAAAUGCGUAGAGAUCUGGAGGAAUACCGGUGGCGAAGGCGGCCCCCUGGACAAAGACUGACGCUCAGGUGCGAAAGCGUGGGGAGCAAACAGG
rnacentral:rRNA from 1 species